CGUUACGUUAUGUAAAAGAUGUU
rnacentral:snRNA from 1 species